GAUGAACGCUAGCGGCAGGCUUAAUACAUGCAAGUCGAGGGGUAGCAAGAUUGUAGCAAUACAAUUGUUGACGACCGGCAAACGGGUGCGGAACACGUACACAACCUUCCUACAAGUGGGGAAUAGCCCAGAGAAAUUUGGAUUAAUACCCCGUAACAUAGCGAUGUGGCAUCACAUUGCUAUUAUAGCUUCGGCGCUUGUUGAUGGGUGUGCGGCUGAUUAGAUAGUUGGCGGGGUAACGGCCCACCAAGUCUACGAUCAGUAGCUGAUGUGAGAGCAUGAUCAGCCACACGGGAACUGAGACACGGGCCCGACUCCUACGGGAGGCAGCAGUAAGGAAUAUUGGACAAUGGACGCAAGUUUGAUCCAGCCAUGCCGCGUGAAGGAUUAAGGUCCUCUGGAUUGUAAACUUCUUUUAUAAGGGACGAAAAAAGGUCUUUCUAGAUCGUCUGACGGUACCUUAUGAAUAAGCACCGGCUAACUCUGUGCCAGCAGCCGCCGUAAUAC
rnacentral:rRNA from 1 species